GUUGGCCACAGAAUGAAAGGCUGAUGUACGAGUGUUGUGUGCGUGUUCUUGACUGCAUUGGAAAGCGCGAGUGAGUGUUGUGUGAAUGCGGAGUGCGUGUUCUUUUACCCCCCCAAAAAAAACCUACACACUGAUCUUAUUUGAUCUGGUCGUAGUUUCGGCUAGACUGUGACCAGAAAUGAUAUAAGAAAGGCUCGCUAGCCUCCGUGGCAAUGUGCGGCAAUGCACGAAUGAAACCAUCGUGGCCUCCACGCUGUAAAGUUGUGGUUAGAAGUGAUGAAUCGAUCAGAUAUACUAGUUCGGAGUGUGUAUGGAUUAUUUCCAAAUAUCACAAUGGACAAUGAGUAAAGAAGCGAUUCUGAUCUGA